rnacentral:rRNA from 1 species
AGUGAACGCUGGCGGCAGGCCCAACACAUGCAAGUCGAGCGGCAGCGCGGGGGCAACCCUGGCGGCGAGCGGCGGACGGGUGAGUAACACGUGAGAAUUUACCUUUAGGAGGGGGAUAACAAUUGGAAACGAAUGCUAAUACCCCAUAUGCUUUUGAGUGAAAUGGAUUUAUAAUUAUCUGCCUAAAGAAAAGCUCGCGGCUGAUUAGCUUGUUGGUAAGGUAAGAGCUUACCAAGGCGACGAUCAGUAUCUGGUUUGAGAGGACGAUCAGACACACUGGAACUGAGACACGGUCCAGACUCCUACGGGAGGCAGCAGUGGGGAAUAUUGCACAAUGGACGAAAGUCUGAUGCAGCAACGCCGCGUGGAGGAUGACACAUUUCGGUGCGUAAACUCCUUUUAUAUAGGAAGAUAAUGACGGUACUAUAUGAAUAAGCACCGGCUAACUCCGUG